rnacentral:rRNA from 1 species
UACAGAGGGUGCAAGCGUUGUUCGGAAUUAUUGGGCGUAAAGCGCGUGUAGGCGGCUUUGCAAGUCGGGUGUGAAAGCCCUCAGCUCAACUGAGGAAGUGCGCCCGAAACUGCUUAGCUUGAGUGUCGGAGAGGAUGGCGGAAUUCCCCAAGUAGAGGUGAAGUUCGUAGAUAUGGGGAGGAACACCGGUGGCGAAGGCGGCCAUCUGGACGAUUACUGACGCUGAGACGCGAAAGCGUGGGGAGCAAACAGG